AGACUGUCUUGCUCUGUGAGCCAUGCUGCAGUGCAGUGGCGCUAUCUCGGCUCAUUGCGACCUCUGCUUCCCGGGUUCAAAUAAUUCUGUCUCAGCCUCCCGCAUAGCUGGGAAUACAGGCACAUACCACCACACCUGGCUAAUUUUUGUAUUUUUAGUAGAGAGGGGGUUUCACCAUCUUGGUCAAUCUGGUCUCAAACUCCUGACCUCAGGCGAUCCACCCACCUCAACCUCCCAAAGUGUUGGAAUUACAGGAGUGAUUUUCUUAAUAAUAUGAUGUUGGCAUAUAAUCUACCCUAACAACAGAAAAGGGGCAAGGGUAUGCAAAACUGGAUGAAAAGAAAGUUUUGGAAAUAUCUCUUUUUCUCUUACUUAAGUAAUUAUCUCUACAAAAUACAUAAUGGCAGUGGUCCUUUGACUCUAAAGCUAAUUCCAAUUAACAAUGUUUUUGAUGGGCCACAGCAAUAAUAUUUUGUUGUAGGGUCAUUUAUUUCUCCUUCAAUGAAAAAGCUCUCUAAAAGACAGCUACAACCAGGCUACAGGACACAGACAGAGAAAUCAAUGUUAAGAAUAAUGGCUCGAGUCCAGAGAAUAGGAUGCUGUGGUGUAUGAGUUUCCUUCUUUAUUUAAUGUUUUUAUUAAUAGAAGAAAAAUUAAAUUAAUAACUGCUCCUUCUCUUCUCUUCUUCCCACCCCUCUCCUCCUUUUCUCCACUAUCCUCUCUAACUAGAAAAAGAGAGAUUAGGAAACUUGAUUAACACGUCCUAAUUCACUGGCUCACGCUCGUCUUUUUGAAACAUACGUUUUCUUUCCCUAAGUGUGCUCUGUCACGCGUAUGUUCAUGUGUAUUACAGGACAAUGCUACUGAGCUGACGUGUACACAUGAUCGGGCCAGCUGAAGGGACUUAGCCCUUACUUGACAAGUGCUGCAAAAGACAGCCUUGCAUCAGCAGCUUAGUAAAGGUGAAAGGCAAAGAAGUUAAAGGUCUUCUAUUGUUCUCUAACCAGAGCAUCUUUAACCACUGGGGACUCAGAGCUCAAUGAUGUUUCCACCCUAGAAAACUCUAUGCACUUAACCGACUCACUGCUUUUCUUCCCUCCUCCACCCCCAUCUUAUGAAGGGUAUAUUUCAUUAUAUAGUUUUGUGUCUAAGAAUUGUUUCAUUACAUUUUGUUAUACUUAUCCUUUUUCUUUUCUUUUUAAAAGAUAAUUCACCAUCUUGAAUUACCUCUAUUUCUGAAAAUUUGAUCACAUAUUAGAGUAAAAACAAAUAGACUACUUUGACUAUAUAAUACACCAUAAAAGUAACAAUACAUUAUAAACCACAAAAUUAACUAACUAUUUCUAUGCUUUUGGUGACAUCCUUUUUUCAUUUUGCUUUGUUUUUCAAGAAAGCAUGAGAAGCACAGAGUAGGUACUUGUACUGGCUGUUGAAUGAACUGUUGUUAUAUUUAUGUUAAGUCUAUAAAAAAAGAAAGCUAUUAAUUUAUUAUUUUUGUCUCUAAAGCCACUGACCAUAUCAAGCCUUAUAUUUUUUCAAUAUUUACUUUCAAAUUUUAUGUUUAUAUUUUAAUUUUGAUUGAAAAAGUUUAAUUGUAUAUGCUUUUGGGAUAAAAUAUGAUACAAUGAUGUAUGUAUACAAUGUGUACUGAUUAAAUCAAACUUAUUAACAUACCCAUCAGCUUCCUUACCCGUAAUUUUUUUAUGGUGAGAUAAAUAUGCUACUUUAACUGGUUUUCUUCUGCUUCUUUUACUAUAUUUUACAAUAUAUCUUUAUAAUCUUCUGGUUAUCCACAUAUUUCCAUAUUAAUAUUUUGUUUAUUUUAUACUUUUCAAAA
rnacentral:lncRNA from 1 species